GACGAACCGAGCGAACGUUAUUCGGAAUCACUGGGCUUAAAGGGCGCGUAGGCGGACCGUCAAGUCAGGGGUGAAAGCCCGCGGCUCAACCGCGGAAGUGCCUUUGAUACUGGCGGCCUAGAGGGAGGUAGGGGUCUGUGGAACUUCCGGUGGAGCGGUGAAAUGCGUUGAUAUCGGAAGGAACGCCGGUGGCGAAAGCGACGGACUGGAUCUCUUCUGACGCUGAGGCGCGAAAGCCAGGGGAGCAAACGGG
rnacentral:rRNA from 1 species